AGGACGAACGCUGGCGGCGUGCUUAACACAUGCAAGUCGAGCGGUAAGGCCUCUUCGGGGGUACACGAGCGGCGAACGGGUGAGUAACACGUGAGCAAUCUGCCCUUCACUUCGGGAUAAGCCUCGGAAACGGGGUCUAAUACCGGAUAUGACCGUGCCAUGCAUGUGGUGUGGUGAAAAGUUCUGGGCGGUGGAGGAUGAGCUCGGCGGCCUAUCAGCUUGGUUGGGUAGGGUAAUGGCCUACCGAAGGCUUCGGACGGGUAGCCGGCCUGAGGAGGGUGACCGGCCACACUGGGACUGAGACACGGCCCAAGACUCCGUACGGGAGGCGAGC
rnacentral:rRNA from 1 species